UUUAGCUCCAGUCUCGUGUCGUGGAAGUUGGCUUUCGCUUGCCCCUUCUGGGCGGGGGGAGGCUUCUUUCUAAUUUCUUAGUCUUGUGGGUCGAACCCGUCUCCAUAGGGUAUGUAUAUAGUUUUGUUAUAGUUUUUGGGUCCAGAUUUGAGCUUCAAAAGAGAGGGUUUUGAGGGACCUGGGUUGGUUGCUUUGGUUGUUUAUUG
rnacentral:misc_RNA from 1 species